AACCUAGGUUAAGAUACAAACCUGAGCUCAGAGACCUGGGACCCUGGUUUGCGCUGGAACUAUGAGAUCACUAACAAGAAUCACUAUUCUCCUAACUUUAGGUAUUAUGAGCGAUGCUGACACCACACAGCCAAAUGCAAUGGAGAGUACUGAAGGAGAGCCUGUCCACCUGCCCUGUAACCACUCCACAAUCGGCGGAAAUGAGUACAUAUAUUGGUAUCGGCAGAUUCCUAACCAGGGUCCGGAGUACAUGAUUCAUGGUCUAAAAGACAAUGUGACUAAAGGAAUAGCCACUCUGAUCAUCACAAGAGCUAGGAAGUCCAGUACUUUGAUUCUGCCCCGGGUUACCCUGGGAGAUGCUGCUGUGGCACCAGGCUCUAACAACAAGCUGACGUUUGGGCAGGGGACAAGCUUAUCAGUCAUUCCAAAUAUCACAGACCCUGACCCCGCGGUGUACCAGCUGAGAAGCCCUAAAUCCAGUAAGAUCUCUGUCUGCCUGUUCACCGAUUUUGAUUCUGAAACCAAUGAGCAGCAAGCCCCGGAGUCCACGAUGACCAGGCUAAACAGUACCGUGCUGGACAUGUGGUCGAUGAAUUCCAAGAGCAAUGGCGUCCUGGCCUGGAGCACCAGCACUGAUUUUAAAUGCAAUGAGACCUUCAACGAGGAAUUCUACUCCAGCUCAGACUUUUCCUGUGAUGCCACUUUGAUAGAGAAAAGCUUUGAAACAGAUAUGAACCUAAACUUCCAAAACCUGCUCAUGAUCGGGCUGCGUGUCGUCCUCCUGAAAGUGACUGGGUUUAACCUGUUCAUGACGCUGCGGCUGUGGUCGCGCUGAGGUCACCAAGAACAUGAGAGCGCCUGGCACUCCCCUCGCUCCUGGCUCCCCACCGUACCUCUUGCCCCUCUUCAAGCAGAGAGGCAGACUGUCUGCUCCCUGACAUAUAAGAAGGCUCCCUCUGCCUCUCUGGCCCCACUGGCAAUGGCCACCAGCUGGAUCCCACCAGAUACUCACCAUCAAGGUGCUGAAGAGCUGCCAAACCCUGCCUCUGCCCCCUCGGUUCCCUCACUGCUGCUUGUCACCACUGGACGCUCACAGCAAAGUCAGGGGGCCACUGCGGAGAGACUCCCUGUCCCUCCCGAGACUGCCUCUUACAUCCCCUGUCCCCUAUCCUCUGGAAGAGGAACCUCCAGUAGGUCCUCCUGGGCUCUAGCUCCCGGAGAAGGUUGUGAGGAGCCCGUUUUUUUAAAUAAUGUUCAUAAAUAUGUAUACCCUUUUCCCCAAGAUGUGGGGGAAAUUAUUACGGAGACCCUGCUGUGCUGUGUAUCUGAGCUGCGUUGUAUAUCCUGCUACCCACGACUUCAUUAAAGGCAAUUUGGAAGAGC